rnacentral:sRNA from 1 species
AGUGCCGGGCGGGGAGUGGGGGCAAGAGAGUAGCGGCCGCAGGCUGGAGAGGCCUCGGAGCCGGGGCCGUCUGACGGGCUGGUGCCCACAGCACAGGCUCGUUGCCGCCACCCUCCGGGAAGCCGCAGACCCGAGCUGAGCCGCCGCGGACCUCUCCUCUCCUGGGUCCGGCGGCUCCGGGAGAAGGCGACCGCGUCCAGACCCCGCCAAGACGGAGAGGGGACCGCGCCCUCCCCCAGGAUCCCUGGAAAAUCCCCCGAUCCCCCACUUCACAGCUGGACAGGCCGAAGCCCUGAGAAAGGAGUGUGACCCGGCCGGCUCCCUCAGCGAGGGGUGGCCGGGCUAAAGUGACCUGAAAAAAAUGUCUGGAUUUCUAGAGGGCUUGAGAUGCUCAGAAUGCAUUGACUGGGGGGAAAAGCGCAAUACUAUUGCUUCCAUUGCUGCUGGUGUACUAUUUUUUACAGGCUGGUGGAUUAUCAUAGAUGCAGCUGUUAUUUAUCCCACCAUGAAAGAUUUCAACCACUCAUACCAUGCCUGUGGUGUUAUAGCAACCAUAGCCUUCCUAAUGAUUAAUGCAGUAUCGAAUGGACAAGUCCGAGGUGAUAGUUACAGUGAAGGUUGUCUGGGUCAAACAGGUGCUCGCAUUUGGCUUUUCAUUGGUUUCAUGUUGGCCUUUGGAUCUCUGAUUGCAUCUAUGUGGAUUCUUUUUGGAGGUUAUGUUGCUAAAGAAAAAGACAUAGUAUACCCUGGAAUUGCUGUAUUUUUCCAGAAUGCCUUCAUCUUUUUUGG